rnacentral:miRNA from 1 species
UUUUCAAUUUUUAGCUUUAGCAUAAUCACCUGAGGAACUGGUUAAAAUGCAGAUUCCUGGAUUCUAGAUCCACUAAAUCAUAAUCCCUUAGAAUGGAGCCCAGGAAUCUGCAUUUUAAUUAAUCAUCUCAGGUGAUUCUAAUA